CACGGGUGAGUAAUGCAUCGGAACGUGUCUCUUGUGGGGGAUAACCAGUCGAAAGACUGGCUAAUACCGCAUGAGCACGAGAGUGGAAAGCGGGGGACCGCAAGGCCUCGCGCGAGAGGAGCGGCCGAUGCCGGAUUAGCUAGUUGGCGGGGUAAAAGCCCACCAAGGCGACGAUCCGUAGCUGGUCUGAGAGGACGACCAGCCACACUGGGACUGAGACACGGCCCAGACUCCUACGGGAGGCAGCAGUGGGGAAUUUUGGACAAUGGGGGCAACCCUGAUCCAGCCAUGCCGCGUGUGUGAAGAAGGCCUUCGGGUUGUAAAGCACUUUCGGACGGAACGAAAUCGCACGAUCUAACAAGUCGUGUGGAUGACGGUACCGUAAGAAGAAGCACCGGCUAACUACGUGCCAGCAGCCGCGGUAAUACGUAGGGUGCGAGCGUUAAUCGGAAUUACUGGGCGUAAAGUGUGCGCAGGCGGCAGAGCAAGUCGAGUGUGAAAGCCCCGGGCUUAACUUGGGAAUUGCGCUCGAAACUACUUUGCUGGAGUGUGGCAGAGGAAGGUGGAAUUCCACGUGUAGCGGUGAAAUGCGUAGAGAUGUGGAGGAACACCAAUG
rnacentral:rRNA from 1 species